GACGAACGCUGGCGGCGUGCUUAACACAUGCAAGUCGAACGGUGAACGAGGGAGCUUGCUCCCUCCGGAUCAGUGGCGAACGGGUGAGUAACACGUGAGCAAUCUGCCCCGAACUCUGGGAUAAGCGUUGGAAACGACGUCUAAUACCGGAUACGACGCGGGAGGGCAUCCUCUCCGCGUGGAAAGAACUUCGGUUCGGGAUGAGCUCGCGGCCUAUCAGCUUGUUGGUGAGGUAACGGCUCACCAAGGUGACGACGGGUAGCAGGCCUGAGAGGGUGACCGGCCACACUGGGACUGAGACACGGCCCAGACUCCUACGGGAGGCAGCAGUGGGGAAUAUUGCACAAUGGGCGCAAGCCUGAUGCAGCAACGCCGCGUGAGGGACGACGGCCUUCGGGUUGUAAACCUCUUUUAGCAGGGAAGAAGCGAAAGUGACGGUACCUGCAGAAAAAGCACCGGCUAACUACGUG
rnacentral:rRNA from 1 species